UCACCUUAGAGGCUGGCCGGCCCCAGGCUGGGCGGGAGAGUAUCUUUUCGAAAGGCUCGCCCUCAAGCACAGCCAGGAGC
rnacentral:pre_miRNA from 1 species